CCCAAGGUGCUACCUCACCACUCAAGGGCAUUUAAUGCCAAUGUGAUUUCCAAAGGAAAUGUCUUCAACUGAAAGCUGCAUUACAGAAAGGACAGACACAUCUUGUGUGAUCUGUAACCAGGAGAAAGGGAAUGUCAAGCUUUCACAAAA